UCUCUCUCUCUCUCUCUCUCUCUCUCCUCUUCUCUCUAUAACCAAACCCUAAACACGAAGACUUUCUUUUCUCUUUCAGAAACUUCAAAUUCGCAAUCCGAUGUUCUAAUCCGGCAAAUCUCCGCGUUGAUCCGGACACAGGAAAGGAAGAGGAAAGAGAAAUAGAAAUUGGCAUGGUGUGAUACGCAGCUAUUGGUUUUGGAAGCCGUUGUUUUCUAGGUUUUUUCUUGUUUUGUUUUGUUAUUAUUUUUUCUCCCAAAAUCUUCCAGAAAUCAAACAUGGGUUUUUCUCUUUAUGUCUGUAAUAUCCUGCAUGCUUAAAGCAUUAUGGAAUUUGGGUUUUUAUUUCUGAAUUGUUGAUGAAUAUUAGGUGGUUGUAUGCAAU